rnacentral:lncRNA from 1 species
UUACAUUUCUUUAUAUAUACCCUAUUAAAAAAAGUCUUGGCCAAAAGGAGGACUUCAAAAAACAACUUUUUUUAUUGUUGUCGAUUCGUCCAGUCUGCUGCUAAGGUAAUUGACAAAUGAUUCCCAAAAUUUACAUUUAGCCAAAAAUAAAAACAACUUGUUUUCGACCUUAACAGCUCAAGGUAUAGUAACAUUAAUUUGUCGUUGCAUCUAUGAUGUUGCCAAGCUGAGUAAUUGUAUUCUUUCAACGUUAGGAUUGUCGGAUGUUGCCGUCUUCUAUUCUGUGGUUGUUCAACAAUUUCAGUUUUGAAGAUCAAGUUUCUUUAUGCAGUAGGUGGGAAUUGUUGACCGUUGUAAAACAAAUAUAUUCAGUUCAAGAAAGUUUUCUUCUUCGUAUGAUAUCGAGACACUGCUGGAGAUCCUUCUUCAAGUCCACAAUUGUGUAUCAAUAAUGUGCAGGAACCCUAGAACCGUUUCAAAACAUAAAAAAUCGCAAGACUGAGGAUCAAGAUUUGUAGAUCUGAAAACAGUAAAGAGAAACACAAGCGAUUUUUGACCGAAGCCCCGAUGUUCAGUGAUUUGUCAAAAUCGCCUAAUUCCCGUUGAGCAUCCACGAAGGAAUAAGCUCGAAUCCACUUGAACAAAACACACCGGCCAAAUUAUAGCAGUUUUCGAAUCACAGAAGGAACAUACAGUUCUAGCCAUCACGACAACAAUCUCCUCAACAAUACAAAGGACUCACACAAGAGUUCAUAGCAUCACGUCUACGCUCAACCAACAAAAAAGAAUCAACAAGAUUCAAGAUGAGAGAGCCAAAAAUACAGAGAGAGUUUUCAACUCAAAACGAAAAGAAAACGAAAGCUGCGUAAAAUGAG